rnacentral:rRNA from 1 species
GAUGAACGCUGGCGGCGUGCCUAAUACAUGCAAGUCGAGCGAACAGAUAAGGAGCUUGCUCCUUUGACGUUAGCGGCGGACGGGUGAGUAACACGUGGGUAACCUACCUAUAAGACUGGAAUAACUCCGGGAAACCGGGGCUAAUGCCGGAUAACAUUUAGAACCGCAUGGUUCUAAAGUGAAAGAUGGUUUUGCUAUCACUUAUAGAUGGACCCGCGCCGUAUUAGCUAGUUGGUAAGGUAACGGCUUACCAAGGCAACGAUACGUAGCCGACCUGAGAGGGUGAUCGGCCACACUGGAACUGAGCCACGGUCCAGACUCCUACGGGAGGCAGCAGUAGGGAAUCUUCCGCAAUGGGCGAAAGCCUGACGGAGCACCGCCGCGUGAGUGAUGAAGGUCUUCGGAUCGUAAAACUCUGUUAUUAGGGAAGAACAAAUGUGUAAGUAACUGUGCACGUCUUGCCGGUACCUAAUCAGAAAGCCCCGGCUAACUACGUG